CCCAAUCCUCAUUUAGACCUACCUAACUGUUAUCUCUCUCCCUCUUUCUUUCUUUUUGACCCAUCUCCAAAGCUAAGAUUGUCUGAUUCUGCUUUUCUUCAACAGGGGUACAUAAAAGGUUUCAAGCUACAUGGAGACUUCAAUUAGCAUGGGUGAGCACGCAUGAUACUGGAAUCAGAAAGCGAAAAAUGUUAAAUCAAACUGGGCACUACAAGUAUCAAAGCGACAUUUUGGAUGAAAACGUGGAACACAUACAGAGAAGAUUUUGAAGGAUAAAUAUGACCUCCUGAGGAAUUCUAGAAAGCAUUACAACAUAUCGGAAGAAAAGUGGUGAUGCCGAAAAUGGAAGCUGCCCUGAACCCACAAGAAUUUAAAAUUACAAAGGUAGUGAUUUGGCGAGAAAGUUGAAGAAAUUAACAGAAUGAUACAGCUGUGUUGAAUUGGGAGAACUCAGGCGAUGUUGACUCGUUGAGA